UGGGGGGACGGCAGCAGCUACAGCUCCCGGUGAGUGCCGGGGAGCCGGGCAGGGCCUGGGGGCACAGGGGCACAAGGGCUUCCCCUGGCAGCCAGCGCUGCCUCUGCUCCUCCCUGCAGGGUUCCUGUCCUUGGCAAUUCCGAGUGUGUGUACCUGGCUGAUAGGAGAUUCAAGAGUGACAACUGCUCCAAUGAGCGGCCGUAUCUCUGCAGCAAGGCCCAAGCUCCCCUGUAACAGGGGCUGCACAAAGGACCUUCUCCACGCUGGGCAGUGCCAGCCAGCUUCACCUCUGAGCCCAGCACAGCGCUGUCCUUCCUCAGCUGCGCCCUGUGCCUUGCACUUCCUCUCAGGGUCACCUCAGUGCCUCUUCAUCCCCAGUGCCAGCGCUGGGCUGGGGCUGCAAAGGACAAGUCUCUGCCAUUAAUAAAGGAAGUACUUUUCACAGAGGAUGGUUGUGACCAAGUUUUUUUUGGGGCUCCUUUUUUUUGUUACUGGCUUUGACUUGUUUUUAUGCCUUAUUCUUGAUAAUUAACCUUUAUUAUCUGGUAGUGAAAAUAGAACAAACCACAUAAAUGGCAAAACCAAGUAAUUUGGGUUUUUUUUAAUUCUCUGGUUGCUGUUUCUGUCAUCUUGUCUUUUAGAUAAGACAGUCCCUGAAUCUGGGAACUCACUGGAUUAUUUUACACUCUUUUCUGAAACAAUCAUUCCAAGAUAAUACAGUCUCUAUUAUGGUAUGAUCUAAGAUAGUAUCUAUUACACCUGUUUUUAUAAAAGCUAUAGAGUGCAUACAUAAACUGACAGAUUAUACUGUAUCAAAUGCAGUAAUUACAAAUUGUACUCUAUCGGGAUUUCUGUGAUCACUUAAUCGCUUCCAAAACAAAUGUUAGUACAUAAAUGUGAAAGCCAAUACCUAUAUUUGUUUUUUUUGCAAUAUUCUACAGCAAGCUCAAUUGGGAAAUCCAAAUCACCCUGGGCUCUCUGAAAUCAUCAUAAACUGGCCUGAAGGUGAGACUUUUGGACUGUCCUUAGAACUUGUGACAAAUGACCCUCACUUUUCAAAAUUUACACAAUUAUUAAACUUUAACAAAAACAUACAACAGGAGACUGAAUAAGGAAAAUUUACAGUGCUGGUUGUUACUGUGACUGUCAGCGACAUGCUGGUUUACAAAAUGGAUGCUCUGCCUUUUAAACCCUCAGCCCCUCCCGAAGUUUUGUCAGUCAGCUCCUUUUUGAGGGAGGGAAUCAGGGAAAAAGCAAAGCCCGAGAUGGAGAGAACAGUGUCAGGAAGGUGCAUU
rnacentral:lncRNA from 1 species